CGGGAAGAGCUCAAAUUUGUAAUCUGGCGCUUUCAGCGUCCGAGUUGUAAUCUCUAGAAGUGUUUUCCGCGUUGGACCGCACACAAGUCUGUUGGAAUACAGCGGCACAGUGGUGAGACCCCCGUUCAUGGUGCGGAUGCCCAAUGCUUUGUGAUACACUUUCGAAGAGUCGAGUUGUUUGGGAAUGCAGCUCAAAUUGGGUGGUAAAUUCCAUCUAAAGCUAAAUAUUGGCGAGAGACCGAUAGCGAACAAGUACCGUGAGGGAAAGAUGAAAAGCACUUUGGAAAGAGAGUUAACAGUACGUGAAAUUGUUGGAAGGGAAACGCUUGAAGUCAGACUUGCUGUUCGGAGUUCAGCCGCAAGGUGUACUCUCCGAGUUGCAGGCCAGCAUCAGUUUUCUGGGGUGGAAAAUCACGGUUUGAAGGUAGCAGUUUCGGCUGUGUUAUAGCUUUCCGUAGGAUACACCCUGGGGGACUGAGGAACGCAGUGUGCUUUUAGCGGGGGUUUCGACCUCUUCACACUUAGGAUGCUGGUGGAAUGGCUUUAAACGAC
rnacentral:rRNA from 1 species